AACGAACGCUGGCGGCAGGCUUAACACAUGCAAGUCGAACGCAUCCUUCGGGGUGAGUGGCAGACGGGUGAGUAACGCGUGGGAACGUGCCCUUCAGUUCGGGAUAACCCAGGGAAACUUGGGCUAAUACCGGAUACGUGCGAGAGCAGAAAGAUUUAUCGCUGAAGGAUCCGCCCGCGUCUGAUUCGCUAGUUGGUGGGGUAAUGGCCGACCAAGGCGACGAUCAGUAGCUGGUCUGAGAUGUUGAUCAGGCACAUUGUGACUGAAGCACGGCUCAAACUCUGGGGGGAGGAGGCAGUGAGGAAUAUUGGACAAUGGGCGCAAGCCUGAUCCAACCAUGCAUCGUGAGUGAUGAAGGCCUUAGAGUUUUAAAACUCUAUCGUCCUGGACGAUAAUGACGGUACCGGAAGAGGAAGUCCAGGCUAUCUGCGUGCCUGCCGCCGCGGUAA
rnacentral:rRNA from 1 species